rnacentral:rRNA from 1 species
GUAACGGCGAGUGAAGCGGCAACAGCUCAAAUUUGAAAUCUGGCCUUCUGGUCCGAGUUGUAAUUUGUAGAAGAUGCUUUUGGUGCGGUGCCUUCCGAGUUCCCUGGAACGGGACGCCUUAGAGGGUGAGAGCCCCGUACGGUUGGACGCCUAGCCUCUGUAAAGCUCUUUCGACGAGUCGAGUAGUUUGGGAAUGCUGCUCAAAAUGGGAGGUAUAUUUCUUCUAAAGCUAAAUAUUGGCCAGAGACCGAUAGCGCACAAGUAGAGUGAUCGAAAGAUGAAAAGCACUUUGAAAAGAGGGUUAAAUAGCACGUGAAAUUGUUGAAAGGGAAGGACUUAUGACCAGACUUUUUCCUAGUGAAUCAUCCGGUGUUCUCACCGGUGCACUUCGCUGAGUUUAGGCCAGCAUCGGUUUCCGUAGGGGGAUAAAAGCUUUGGGAAUGUGGCUCCUCCGGGAGUGUUAUAGCCCACUGUAUAAUACCCUUCUGGGGACCGAGGUACGCGCUUCUGCAAGGAUGCUGGCGUAAUGGUCAUCAGUCACCCGUCUUGAAACACGGACCAAGGAGUCGAACAUUUGUGCGAGUGUUUGGGUGUCAAACCCUCACGCGUAAUGAAAGUGAACGGAGGUGAGAGCCUUAGGGUGCAUCAUCGACCGAUCCUGAUGUCUUCGGAUGGAUUUGAGUAAGAGCAUAACUGUUCGGACCCGAAAGAUGGUGAACUAUGCGUGGAUAGGGUGAAGCCAGAGGAAACUCUGGUGGAGGCUCGCAGCGGUUCUGACGUGCAAAUCGAUCGUCAAAUCUGCGCAUGGGGGCGAAAGACUAAUCGAACCAUCUAGUAGCUGG